ACCGGCGCACGGGUGCGUAACGCGUAUGCAAUCUACCUUGUACAGGGGGAUAGCCCAGAGAAAUUUGGAUUAAUACCCCAUAGUAUCUUUUGAAGGCAUCUUCAAAUUAUUAAAGUUCCAACGGUACAAGAUGAGCAUGCGUCCCAUUAGUUAGUUGGUGUGGUAACGGCACACCAAGACGAUGAUGGGUAGGGGUCCUGAGAGGGAGAUCCCCCACACUGGUACUGAGACACGGACCAGACUCCUACGGGAGGCAGCAGUGAGGAAUAUUGGGCAAUGGAGGCAACUCUGACCCAGCCAUGCCGCGUGCAGGAAGACGGCCCUAUGGGUUGUAAACUGCUUUUGUACGGGAAGAAACACUCCUACGUGUAGGAGCUUGACGGUACCGUAAGAAUAAGGAUCGGCUAACUCCGUGCCAGCAGCCGCGGUAAUACGGAGGAUCCAAGCGUUAUCCGGAAUCAUUGGGUUUAAAGGGUCCGUAGGCGGCCUUAUAAGUCAGUGGUGAAAUCUCCUAGCUCAACUAGGAAACUGCCAUUGAUACUGUAGGGCUUGAAUUUUUGUGAAGUAACUAGAAUAUGUAGUGU
rnacentral:rRNA from 1 species